rnacentral:rRNA from 1 species
UACGUAGGAUGCGAGCGUUAUCCGGAUUUAUUGGGUUUAAAGGGUGCGUAGGCGGUCCGGAAAGUCAGCGGUAAAAGCCCGGGGCUCAACCCCGGCGAGCCGUUGAAACUGUCGGACUAGAGACGGCGAGAAGUACGCGGAAUGCGCGGUGUAGCGGUGAAAUGCAUAGAUAUCGCGCAGAACUCCGAUUGCGAAGGCAGCGUACCGGCGCCGGACUGACGCUGAGGCACGAAAGCGUGGGUAUCGAACAGG